rnacentral:rRNA from 1 species
AUCUACAGCCAUGCCACUCUGAAUGAGCCCUAUUUCAUCUGAUCUUGGAAGCCAAGCAGGGUUGGACCUGGUUAGUACUUGGAUGAGAGACCACCUAGGAAUACCAGGUGCUGUUAGGU